AUUUUUAAUUUCUAUUUUUUUAUGAUACAACAUACAAAAAUACAUACAAUCCUCAAUUUUCACCCUUCUACGAUCAACCCUUAUUUUUUAAUAGCCAUUUUAGUAAUUUAAUCAUUUUUCCUCUCCGGUCGAAAACUGAUCAAUCAUCAUUUAAUUAGUUAUCCCCGCCAGAUGUCUACAGGUGUCACUUCUGACCCGGUAAACAGCACGAACGAACGAACGAACGAACGAAUGAAUGAGAACGAAGCCGGUCUCCUUUCUUUCUCACUCCCUACACAGUUGUCAGCCAUCAUUAUUGUUUAGGAAAUUAUUUAUACGGCAAAACAACGUUUGCCGGGUCAGCUAGUUUUUCUAUAAUAAAGUUGAAAGAGAGGGUGUCAAGAGCCCUAGAGAGGUCAAAGAACAAUCCAGCAACAUAGAAACCACCAUCAAGACAUUCGUAUACAUAUUCAGUGAACUGAACAGCUGCCGACUGCGUUGAAUGGCCAGAUCUGAAGCCAUGCUGGGAAUUAUUCAAAAUAUCAUAUUUGUCAACAUACUUAGUCAUUCUGCCGAGGAUUAUCUUUUCGAAAACUUUCGAAAAAGAGUUCAGAAGAGAAAUUGGUCUGUAAUUGGUAAUAUCACGCAUGAUAUUUAUUUUAAAGAUUGAAAUGACCGUAGCCUUUUUUAACAAUGAAGGGAAAAUGCCUUGGUUUACAGACAAAUCGAUACACUGUGCAUAAUGCUGACAUAUCGGGCUUCUGGCAGAGACAGAAUUCGGACCAGAAAUUUUAUUAUUUAAUAAGUAAAUGAUAAAUGGAUUGACCACACUUGUACUACCCCGCCAGAAGCUCAUAAAUUAUUAACCAUUUUUCUUUCUCGAAGAGGUCUUCUUAAUCCUUCAGAUGUAGUGAGUAUAUAAAAUUUUACAUUUCGGUGAAAAGUAUAUUCGUCUGCUGUUAGAAAGUCGAAAUGUUUUGCAAAGCAAAAUAAAUUCAGAACGAAAGAUUACAGACAAUGUUAUCGAUCAAUUUUUUUCCAAUACAAAUCUUUUCAGACUUAAGCACCCUAGGACUCAAAGGUAUGUUGCGGGAGAAUGUCACGAAAUUCAAAUCAUACGGAAAAUUACCAAUAUCUAUUAUUUGUGCCAAAUGACCCCCCAUGCCAAACGCUCAAAUUUAGAGUUGCAUAGAACGAGUGCCACAAUACGACAAAAAAUUAAUGUAUUUUAUUUAGGAACUGUUGAAUUUGGUCUAUGUAUAUAUUGUUAUAUUCAUGAAAAUUGUAUUGCUUUUUGUAUUACACUUUUUUGUUUGUUUGUAAGAGUGUCAUCAUUCCUACAAUCAACACAACGAAGUUGCCGGAUAUCUUUUUAGGGCAGGUCUGAAAUCAGAUGUAAUAUUGAUGAUAUUUAUAAUCGUCAUAGUGGAUAAGCUCAUUCAUUAUUUAUGAAAGAAAUGUGUAUAUAGUUCAGUCCUUGUUUCAUCACACCAGAAGAAAUCGAAACAUGCCACAAAAACAUGAUUUGACUAAAAUAAAGAAACUAAAUUGCAUGAUUACCACACCUAGUUUAGCUCACACAAUAGCUCCUUCACAAAGUUGAAGGUAGGUGAAAUUAAUUAACUUGGUUAAACUAUCACUCUAUUGAAAUAGCGAAACAAUUGUAGUGGUGGUAAAAACUUGAUGGAAAUAAUGUAACUCAGUUUCUUCAGUUUUAUUUUUUUGUAUCAAGUACCCGCCAUAUCAAUUCGAUAUGUUUUUAAUAUGAAAAAAAACUUUUCAGGCUAAACUGAAAAUAAAAUUGGUGAAAUGAAGAGAGAAUAAAUCGAAGUAGGAUUAGACUGCUUGAAAUUGGUUCCGUAGGUUCUAAAUUUGAUCGGCUUCACAUUAUUACCAACAGCUGAUGGAUAUCAUGAUGAGUAUUUUCAAUGGCUUAUGAACCAUUCUGGGAAUACCACGAUUUCUCUAAAUUUCUCUAAGAAUAAGUGAUUUUGAAAACUAUUAGAAAGUUCCAAUCCAUCUGUGGAAGCUAUGUAUUUCAUGGUAAAAGGUUGAGCCGAACCAUACAGAAUACUUUCGUGGUCUUCAUCCAGAGAAUGUCCCCUGUGUAAUAUUUAUUCGGUAUUGAUCCACCACUUCAACAUAUUAAUGCUCCUUUCACUAUUACUUCCGAUGAAGUUCAUUGACCAAUAAAAAUCUGCUCUUUUCUCACAGGAAUAUCGGACCAUCAUUGUAAGUUUAAUAGGUAGCAGCAAUCUACACCUGGCGAAGAACACCUAGGCAGACUCUCCGUAGAUAUGAUCAGUGAGUGAACCAUAACACCGUUUAUUUAGGAACUACUGAAUGUACAUUGACCUCAAGCAACCUGUAAGGCACCGAAAAAUAAACUAUGAAACAAAUCGCAGUGUUCCCUAUUACUUGCCAUUUAUUUAUUAGGCUGAAGAAUGUGGACAGAUUCACAUAAUAUGAUUUUUAUUUUCAUCAAAGAUACCUUGUUUGAUCAUGGAAACCUCUCAAAUCAAGUUUGGAUCUACAGUACCGAUUACAAACCACACAAUAGGUGAAAGAAGAAAAGAGAUAUCUCGAAUUCCAAUAAUGAUCCAAUAAGUUUUUGCUCAUUAUGCAUGUUCAAACUUCAAUCUAUCUGAUAACAAGGAACUGGAGAACAGUAAUUCAUACGAGACAACAAGUGAGUUAAAUUAAUUUCUUCAAAUUAAUCUACAUUAAAAACUAACGUGUUGUAUGCAAAAUUUCAUUCCAUUUUGAUUGGGAUUCAAAUGAUAACACUUGCCAGAAAAUUAUGUAAUUUGCUAGCGCGCUAUUCAAUCCAUAGCAAUAAGAUCAAGAUGACGUUUAUCUACUAUUACUUGGUUUUUUAUUGAACUUGUGAAUUAAAAAUAAAUAAUUCACAGAGUGGAUAAACGUAGUUGCUAAGGGUAGAAUAAUGUUGUCUCAAAAUGUCAAAACGUCGGAACUUUAAAAAUUAUUUGCUAGGCGCAUUAUAUUCAUUGAAAGGAAAGAUUCAUGAGAUAAUCGUCACAAAUCUGAUUUCAGCUCUUCAAAAAAGAGAACUUUUGAAAAUAUCUUCCAAAUUAUGAUCAUUACCUAGAUUCAACAGUCCCUAUCGUGUAUCAUAAGGAAUAAAUGUAAAACCCUACAUUACUCGCGUGGUCUACGAUUGUAGACCAUACCUAUUCGAACGAUAAAAAAUAAAUGUUGAAAUCUAAGGCAUUGAAGUUUUCUCGAUUUCCUCUCAAAGAGAAGCAUUAUUUUAUCACAAAGUUUCAAUUAUAUGAAUAACAAGUGGUCAAAUAAACGAUAUCAUCAUAGAUAAUCUUUGAAAUAUAUCAACGUAAUAUUUAAAGUUAAAAUAAAUAUGGUCUACACUUGUAGACCACGCGAGUAAAUACGAUCUAAAAGAGGGCGCGACUAACGCAGGGUUAAAAGUAUAAUAGCCCAUAGCCCUAGAAAGUAUGAGGCUAGUAUAACUCAAGGUUUUCUCUUGAAGUUUUUAGAAGCAUAAAUUUUCCAUAUCCCGAUAAAAAUAGAUUACACUCUCGUCAGUCUCGUUAAAAUUAGUUUAAUCAUCGUUUUAAGUUUUUGUUUCUCUUUGUUGCAAUUCAGUAUACAGAAAUGCCGAGAGAAAGAACAAUUUUUUGGAUAUAAUUCAGGAAGAUGAUGGCCUAAAUGCAGCGGACUUGAUUGUUUAUGGCAUUCCCAGGAGAAAUAGGAGAAUAUGAUACAGGCUCGGGAAUAUUAUACCAGAGUACAUUAUAUUCAUAGCUUUCAUGACAUAUUGUUCUACAAAUUAAUCUGCGUCAGUGAGGAUGAACUGAAUGUGUAGUAGCACGUUGGCGCACGUCAAUGUUUUACAUCCAAACAAGGCGAUUUUACGUAGGGCUAUUCGGAUAAAGCAAAGAUUAUAGAGAAUAACUAACUCUAUAAUCUUUGGGAUAAAGCUCAUUUUGUCUCAUUUGCACAAGCAGUUAUUGAAGGAAGUUCUUUGAAUAAGUGAAACAGUCAUGUACUUCUUCUCCUUGUGAGUGAGAAAAUGCCGAAGAUUUUGAAGAUUUAUGAUUCUAAUCCUAACCUAAAAGUUUCUGGAACUCUUGUCCGAUGGUUUGAUUGCUUAUAAUAUAUAACCGUUGAAAACAUUGGAUACUAGAUAUUUUCCAGGUUGCAAUUAAUUACUUGGAUGAUUAUUAUAUGUUGGGUUCCUCGCUGAUAACAGUAUAGUAUCAUUAUUAUCUGGAUGGGAAAAAAAGUUGAAAAAGUUUCGAAAAUUGAUCGGUUGCCAAAGUUUUUAAUGAAAAUACGACAAAAUUACUCCCAUCAAUACUUGGCCCAAAGUUUCACAAGUUUCUGUCAAGAUGCAUACAAAUGACAUCUAAAACUACACCCCCACCAACCCUCUGAAGUUGAAUUAUCUUGAUGCAGUAACAAGUGUAACAAAAAACCGUUGCUCUGGGUUUUAAUGGAAAUGGGUUGUUACCAACAUGCCGAACACGACAUAUAGGGUGAAAUAUUGUGUUCAUCAAAAACUACCCCCCUUACAACCCUCUGAAGUUGAACUAUGUUGAUACAGUAAAAAGUGUAAAAAAUAACCUUUGCUCGGGGUUUUUUUAUGGUAGUUGUUACCAACAUACCGAACACGAUAUAUAGGGUGAAAUAAUUUGUGCAUCAAAAACUACCCACCCCCCACCAAUGGGAAUCUAGAUUGAAAUUGGAUAUGGAAUGAUCAUAUAGACGAUGUUUGUAAAAAGAUAAACUCCUCCUAUUCUGCUAUUGGUAGAAUCAAAAAACUGUUUCCUCUCGAAUCUCUUCUUCAAGUGUAUUACUGUAUGUGUUACCCUCAUAUGACUAACAAUUUCAGGGACACUCACAGGUUUCUAAAUUCUGAGAGUUAGUGAAGAGGAUAUGAUUGUGUGGUGUUUUUUUCUGUGUUGUAUUGUUGAUUCACCUUGAUAUUGGUCAUUGCUGGGUAUUGUAGACUUCGAUAAUUAAAAAUAAGAUAUGAAACACUUCUCUGUGGUUUUUGUUUUGUUGAGUUGAGGUUGACAUUUGUCUUUCUGGAAAUUUCCUUUAAGAACUGACAGAUUAUCCUGACUUGAAUAUUAAAUGCUUGAACGUUUGGCUAAUUUAGAUGAGUUUACUUUCAUUGACUGAUUCUUCACAAAUAUAUUGACUCGAUGACUUUUUUGUGUUGGUCAUAUGAUUUCAUGGAACCAAUUUAUCUUCAUGGUUUUGGAAAAUGGCGAAUACCGAAACAUGUUAAACCUAGAUAAAAAAAAUAAGGUCCACAUUUUCGAGGAGUUUUGACUUUAUUCCCCUUCUAUUAUUCUCAUUUGGUGCGGUACGUUCCACUUACUAGGGUUGUCAUUUGCCAGAAAAAAAUGAUUAGGAUGAUUUUCAGCUUAUAUCCGCGAGCGUUCUGUCGACCUUAUUCUUCUGAAAAAUGAUAUGAACUUUAGAAAACUAUCAAGUCACUAUUCUUACUCGACUAGAAACAGUGACGUCUUAGUUCUUCGCGGGCACAGGACGUCGAAGUUCGCACCUACCUAUCAAAGAAUUAUUAUGUUCAAUCAUUUACCAAUCUCUAUAAAAAGUGAGAAUAUCAGCCAAUUCAAGAAAAUACCAUUAAACGUUAUAUCGUAUAAAAGUUACCAUUCCGUAAGUGAAUAUUUGAAGGAUGAAGAGUUAGAAUUAUAAUUCAAAAUUAUUUCUUUUUUCUGUUAUUUUUGUUUUGUUUUUGCUUUGAAUAAGUGCUAUUAUUAGUUUGCUUUUUUGUCUUCUUAACUAUGACCUGUCCUAUACUUGUUUGUCUGAAAGGAUCAAUAAAUGCUAUUAUUAUCAACAAGGAAAUGCCGCAGAUGGGCUCGCAUUAGUUGAAAUGCCAAUUCCAAAAAGAAUCAUAUCACUAGCAGUGGAUGUGAUGAAUAUUCUCUAAUAAAUGAGCUCGCAAAAAAGGUUUCUGUUCUCUUUUACCACUGAAUAAAGAAUAGCUUUAUGUUUCAAAAAUUUUAAGUGAUUACAGAAAUACACUCUAGGUUCAUUGAGACGUCACGUUUUCUCACCAGUUAACUGAAAAAACGCUAUGUGCAGAAGAAUUUUGAGAGUUAGUUAUUUAAUUUUGAUAGGCGGAUAGAAAGUGUUUAUUAUGUGGGGCUUCUGAGUCAGAAAUAAUUUUGUUUUCCAUAGAACCCCGAAAGGUAAGAAAAAUUGUUCUUUUAAACCGUCGUUUAAACCCAAGAUAUUUUAAGAAAAACUAUAUUUUCUUUCGCGGGAAUCAGUUGUGGAUGCAAACUCUGGGUUUGAGAUAAUUUGUUGUUAGAAGGCCUCAACAACCAUUCCAAUUUCACAGAAACUCAACCGAAAUGCUAAACCCAUGGCUUGGGUAAUCCCUUCUGAACAUUGAUCUUCAUGAUCUUUCACUUCGUGAAUUUGGGAAUAUAUACACACCUAGUUGAUGAAGAUGAUAUGGAAGCCGCUAAUACUUCAUCACAGAAGCCUAAAUUUGGUGAAAUAAUCGAAUUUUGGAGUUGAUUGUCCGGUGCUUGAUGGCAACUAUGUCCAUUGAACAUAUCAUCUACUUUUUUCUGCUUCCCAAAAAGCCAAUUCCAAUCUGUCAUUUUCUGAUCGAUUUAUCUGCGUGGUCGAUUCGGCGGAGACAUUUGAUUCUCCGAGGCCCAAAAUCCUUUCAAAUUUUUCAUCGCUGAGUUGACCAUGACGAUCGAAAAUCAUUCCUAAGUUGUUAGAUAUGGAAGAACCAGGUUGAUUGAUAUUAUUCGACUCAGCAAAGAUUUUGGCUUCUUUCAGACGCUAAAUCUUUUCGAAUUCCUCUUUGCUGAGUUGUUGUGGUGAUGGCUGAGGUUCUGAAGUUAUUCCGAAGAUGUCAGACACUCAAUAAUCAGAGAUUCUGUCUUUUUCCACACACAAAAUCCUUUCGAAUUCAUCAUCGCUGAGUUGAGGAGCAGAUUGCUGUGAUCCGAAACUCAUUCCGGAGGUGUUUUAGGGACAUUUUGGAUUAUUACUCUAGUUUAAUUGAAGGUUCGAAGAACCCGAAGAACUGACCUGUAUACUUGCAUACCUUUUCUAUUGUUAUUCAUUUCGGAUUAUUUCAUAAAUAAUAACUGUUGCAAUAUUACUGACUAGAUAGGGUCAUCUGUGUGUUAGAGUGUUACUCGUGGAGAUUAUCGAUCAAUUCAUUGAAAAACGUCAGUAUAAUACGCAUCUUCAUUCUCAUAAACCUGAAACCCAUUACAUGGCGAUCCUGCAGGCCUGAUGUCCUAGCAAAGAUGAACUGCAGAGUGUCGUAUAUCAAGUAAUAUUCCACCGGUAGAACUGUCUGUCAGUUAUGAGUUUUAAAAAGAAGAAACAUGGGAAGUAGUCAUUCCAAGGACACCACCCAAGAGGUAAACAAAAAUGGAGCGGUAAAUUCGAACUUUAUUGUGCAAGAGAGUGAGUAGAAUAUCUCAAAGGACAUGAAAAUUGUGAUUUAUCUCAUUUUGGUUUUGUCAAUUUUGGCUGCUCAAUAUGUUGUUCAAACUCUACAAGACACAUAAGAAAACUAUGAUGAGGAGAGUAAGACGGGAGGCUGCCACAUCGAUGUCAUCAAUAUCAGCAGAGUAGUGAUCCUCGAUUAAAACAAUCCGCGCAGUAGUGGAGCGCCGUAACUACAUUUACGAAAAGGGUGAGCAAAUUGAAGAACAUGCAUAUUCUUUUUUGUAUUAUAUAUUGAACGAAAAACAGUGAAUCAAACUGUACGCUCUUGUACAAAUAGUUUGAUAAGAAAUCUGUGUACGAAAAUACUUCGUCCCGGAAAGAAUCCGUGUUGACUCUCUUUUAUCGACGACUUCAGAUUAUAGAACAGACCGUUCAAAACAAUACUGUAAAUAUUUUGCUGCAUACCGAUAUCUUGCAGACUCCCCGAUAGUUUUCAACAAAGUUCCUUCCACCAGAAUUCUUUAAAUUGGUAUCAAUAAUGCAGUUUUCCAUGCAUUGGGAAAUUCCCCAGAUCUGAUGGACUCAUUGAAUAAUUUUUUAAGAGGAUAACAUAAGGUCUCACAACAGUUUUUGACGACAUAUGAUGGGUAACCAUCAAAACAAACUCCUUAGUUUUUAAUAUAUUUCCAAAAGCUCUUAGAACUAGUUUUCACUUCAUCUUGAAUAGUAUUCAAAUACAUCUAUGUUCUUUCCUUAUUAAUUCUUCGCUUUUUUUUCGAAAAAAUCUGAAUUUAUCAAAAUGAUAUUUAUGUCCAAAUAUUUUCCAUUUUUUAUGCAUCUUUUUUCUGUGUGCGUUAUCAGUUGAGACGGACAAAAAUGAAGGAAAUUUUCUAUUUCUUAAUGAAACUUUCGGAAUAUACAAACUCGCACCCUCCGACAAAGCCACAUAAAAAUUAUCAGUAGCUUCAUUCAUUGUUAAGUGAUCAUGAAAAAUAUCUUGAUUCAAAUAUGCAAGAUAAAAAUGCAAUCUACUAUGUGUGUGGAUACAUGGUGAAAAAUUUCUCAAGAUCCAUAACUGCGAAAGUUAUAGGGAUAUACUUUUGGAUAAAGAGAAACUGUUGAUAGGUGAGCAUCAAAUGUUCACCUAUAUGAAGCAGAACGAGUCAAUUACGCAUGACCAAGGAUUGCUAUAUACUUCUGAAAGCCUAUACGAUUAUGUUCAGAAGCAGAAGUUAUUCAUAAUGAAUAUUUUAAAGAGCUCCUGCAUAGUCGAAGAAUUGUCAAAGACUUAAUUUAUGUGGUGCGGAAAACUCAUGAAAUUUAUUUUAAUCUUUGUUCUCCUGAGGCAAGCGAUGAAUUUUUAUUUAUGUUUAUUGGAUGCCAUUGGAAAGUUCGCUUCGAAAACCAAGGGAAGCAGAAAAGUGCUAUAAAAAAAGCGAAAACUAAAAAAUAUUGCACUCCUGUAUAUUAUUAUGUAUUUAUAUCAUUAUUUGAGUAAAAAAAUAACAAAAACAGAGAAGCCCACCACUUCGGGACUCCCAGGGAAACCACCAAAACGCUGGUAUGAGAGCUGGACUUCGGCAUCCCAAGAUGGAAACACCGGACUGAGUCCUAAACGAAGAGAAAGAAGAAGAAGGAAAAUAUAUUCAACGAUUCAUUUCAAUUCAUCUUUUUUUUAAUGAAGUGCAAUUCCUUCUUAUGUAUGAAUGAAAGUAUUAUACUCUACUAAGCUGAAAGGCAUUGAAAAAGUGAAGAAAGACAACGAUUAGCAGGUCUUAUUCGAUUACUGUAUCAAAAAAAUUGUGUUGAAAGGUUUAUUUAACGGCAGUUCAAUCAUGAUCACAUGGUAUAAUUAAUCGGUGGAGAAACUGUUAAUUUUAUUUUGUAUGAGAAUUUUGUGCUUCUUCGAAAGGAAAAAUGACUAUAUGAUUUUCCGUUAAUGUGUAAUAUUUCAUUAUUUUUAUUAUGUAUUUAACAAAUUCUGCGUAACAAUUAUUUCAAGUCCUUAGUGUUAGAAAUCAAUUUGCCAGGAAUUGAGAAGGUUUUUCAUCAUUCCAAAUUUUUUUUCUCUUUUAUUUCCAAUUACAGAAGGGAUAAUGGAAUCAGAUACGAAAUCUAAAAACAAAAUUCUAGAGCUAACUGAAACCAAGUGCACUGAUAGACAAAUCAAGCCAAUACGUGAGAUUUGCGAAUAAUUAUAAGGAUCUAAAAGAAUACAAUGUUGAAACAGAGGAAGAAUCGAGCGAUUCGGAGUGGGAGAAUUACGAGGAAUAGAGGAAAGAGCAGAUGUAUCUUUCACUCAUAUCGGAUAUCCAAGAUGUUAAUCAUCUGAUAUACGUAUCGACUAAUUGGAAAUAAACUCAAAAAUAAAUACAUAUAUAAUUACAUAAUCCUAACCAUAAUUAGGUCAAAUUGGACUUUUGUUUGUUCCCUAUUUGAAUAUACAAUAGUCAUGCAGAUCAUAAUAUUGAGCAAUAGUGCGGCCAGUGUGUGUGCAUUUUUAUCUUUUAUAUAACUCUAUGUUUAUAUCUAUGUAUUUAUAGAGAAAUGUUACUACUUUAUUCAAGACUAUCUGAAUGAAGAUGGACUGCAUUAAUCUUUGUAUUACUGUCACUGUAUAAUUUGUUAUUUUUUUUCUUGCUACCAAUGACCUGUCCCAUAUUGAGAGGAUCAAUAAAUGUUAUUAUUAUUAUAUUAUUAUCAUUAUGUUUCAAAUAUCCAUUCAUUCGAGAUGCAGUUCAGAAUUAAUUCAGUAGCCCAUCCAGUAGCCAUUGAGUUAAGUUGCUUAGCUCUCAUUAUACAGAGUACUCUCUAGUCACCGUUGUACAUUUACAAAAAUAGAGUUUGUUUUUAAAAACAGAGUUCUCAUAAUAAAAAGUAAAAUGAUAUCAAUAAAAACCGGUAACGAAUAUACUACCCAACUAUGGUAAAAAACAGUGUUUGGUGCUUUUGCAUUCUCACACUGUUACACCUAUUACAACAUAUAAAAGCAGUAACAUUGUCCAUAAUUCUUUAGAAAAACCAGAAAACAGUUACUGCUUUCAAGUUAGAUUCGACCAAAUACAACACAAAAAGCAGUAUUCUCUGUCAAAGCAAGUUCAAAAGGCAAUAAAUUUAAGAGCAAAAAAACAGUAACUUGUAGGUGUUGCCCUUUUAAUGUUGCUUCAUUGAAAUCAUUAGGUUGUAAUUUUGAAAAUUUUAAUUAAUAAUUUACAUACUCGGAUUGUCUCUAAGUUUCAAAGGAUUCAUUUCUUUUCUGAAAAUGGUUCCCAUAAAUAAGUUUCAAUUCGAUCAUGGAGUUUGAGGGAAACAGCCAAUCAAAGCAUAAAAAAUAUUAGGAAGGGCACAAAAAAUCUUGUCUCCUGGCCCAUAUUUUGAAUUUCGCCACUGCGUCUCUUCAUAUAGUCCAAAUCAAUAGUUAAAUACGCAGCUAGGGAAGAUGAAGAAAGUUUCAAGAUUCAUUUGGAUUCCAUAAAUGCUGAAUCAUCACUAUUACUUACAUUUUCAUAAUGAAAUAUGUAAUAAAUUUUUAACUUGAGAUCACCUACUACUGAAAAUGAGAUCGCGGGGAAGAAUCCAUUUCAAUUUUUUUGGAGAUAUCUCAACGUCUUUACUGAAUGAUGAUAAUUGAAGGUUCUUCUAUGGAUUUGAAUCGAAACAUCCACAGAUAAUGAUUUUUCGAAAUUAGGAAUAUAAAAAUACAUAUUAUUUUUAACUUUCUUAAUCUCCCAUCUAGAUACAUCAAUUUUAAUUGAAUAAUUAUUCAGGAGGUUUUCAAAAUUUUUGUUCGGUUCUAGAGAUACCUCUAUAUGAUGCAUACAGGAGGUUCAACUGGUGUAUAUAACUUAGAGUCAACAAUGCCAGAGCCGAAGAACAAAGCAAAUAGGAAAUUUUAGAUGAAAUAAAAUUCAAUUUUCCAUUUUUUCAAGAAACACAAGUAACACGGCAUUAACAACAUGGUGAUCCCUUCAAUAAAAUCGAUGUAGACUCAUUAUGAGAACUUGAGUGAUCCAAAAAAAAUCUGCUUGUGAGAAUGUUAGUAAUGACUUGCUGAGCUGAGCCAGAGAUUUUCGAUUACUACAAAGAUGAUUCCGAAUAAAUGGAAAUUUCUUGUCAGAAGAUAUAAAAUGGCCAAAGACCAGAAAAAAAGGUGGAAAGAGCCCCGAGCAGGUUUUUAUUUUUUGAUGAGAUGGAUGCUUAUCUGGGUAAUAAAUUCAGUAAUAAAUGUCCAUAUGCCCUGCAGAGCAGUUUUGUUGAUGACAUGUUAAGUCUCAAAACAUGUUAAUAAUUAACUGCUUUGUCAGAUCAACAUUGUGGAAAGAAGUCUUAAAGUGAAAUUUAAUAUGCAUAGAAUCGGUAUACUUUCAUACCUUUUAGUGUAUGGCAAAAUUAUGAACGUAAACUUUAUUUCAGAGAAUACUAGAUAUUCUGAGCCUGCAGUAUUCAUUGAUACAAUCAUUAC